UACAGAGGGUGCAAGCGUUAAUCGGAUUUACUGGGCGUAAAGCGCGCGUAGGCGGCUAAUUAAGUCAAAUGUGAAAUCCCCGAGCUUAACUUGGGAAUUGCAUUCGAUACUGGUUAGCUAGAGUGUGGGAGAGGAUGGUAGAAUUCCAGGUGUAGCGGUGAAAUGCGUAGAGAUCGGAAAGAACACCAACGGCGAAAGCACUCUGCUGGGCCGACACUGACACUGAGAGACGAAAGCUAGGGGAGCGAAUGGG
rnacentral:rRNA from 1 species